UGGUGAAUAUUGCACAAUGGGCGCAAGCCUGAUGCAGCCAUGCCGCGUGUAUGAAGAAGGCCUUCGGGUUGUAAAGUACUUUCAGCGGGGUGGAAGGGAGUAAAGUUAAUACCUUUGCUCAUUGACGUUACCCGCAGAAGAAGCACCGGCUAACUCUGUGCCAGCAGCCGCGGUAAUACGGAGGGUGCAAGCGUUAAUCGGAAUUACUGGGCGUAAAGCGCACGCAGGCGGUUUGUUAAGUCAGAUGUGAAAUCCCCGGGCUCAACCUGGGAACUGCAUCUGAUACUGGCAAGCUUGAGUCUCGUAGAGGGGGGUAGCAUUCCAGGUGUAGCGGUGAAAUGCGUAAAGAUCUGGAGGAAUACCGGUGGCGAAGGCGGCCCCCUGGACGAAGACUAACGCUCAGGUGCGAAAGCGUGGGGAGCAAACAUG
rnacentral:rRNA from 1 species